GCUCCCUGCGCCGCAGCCACAGGCUCACCUGCCACGGCCACUCCCCGCGGGCCGCCGCGCUGCCCCCGACAAUCCUGGUGAGCGCCGCUGGUGCCAGGCCGCAGUCUGCGGGGGAGCCAGGCGCAUGGGCAGGUAACAGUGGAAUGCCUGUGUUCCCUGUGGCUUCAGCUUCAGGCCACACCACCCCUGCUGGGGGCCAGGCGGGAGGCCACACCUCAGGCCUCCACAACUUCCAUCCACCCAAGGCCUUGGCAGACACCAGGGCCCUCCCCAGAGCCCCACCCCGCCUUGGUGCUCUCUGCCUGGGUCCCUGAUUGCCCCAUCCCCUUCCCUCACAUUCCCUGCAGGCUGAGCCCUCCCAGGCCGGGGAGCGCAGAGGCCUCCCUCAGAACUCAGCUGUGGAAGAAUGUGUGGGUGGUUUCCAGGGACCCCAUUACCACCCAUGGAGGGGGACCCGUACCCACCUGAUGUCUCCAGAGGGCCGUUUUCCUCCUCAGGGGCUAGCCCCCUCCCCACCCUCUACCACCGCCCAGCUGGCUUCCCUGGGUGCUCCCCAAAGCCCCAUCCGAAGCAGACGUGAAGGCCAGCAAGGAAGAGAAGUUCCACCUCCCCGCCAGCCCUGGCGCCGUCCGACCCUGAGACCAGAUGGCCUUGGCAAAUCCGCCGGCAGCCGCAGCCCCUGUCCUUGGGAAUGCCAGCGGUCUCCACACACAGCCCGCCUCCAUUUCAAGGGGGCCUUCUCUACCUCUCUUGCACCCAAAGUUAAGAGCUCCCAGGCCAUAGCUACUAAAAAAGUAAAAAGCAGCUCAGACUGAGACAGCGAGAGCCGUCAGGCUGCGGGGACAGACCCGGAUGAGGGCAGCUGUCAGUUAACCAGAAACACUCGCCCAUGGACACGGCACGACUGAGCCGCCAAAGCCCCCUGCCUGCCUUUUUUUCUUUCCUGACAUAGUCUCUCGCUCUCGUGGCCCAGGCUGGAGUGCAGUGGCACCAUCUCGGCUCACUGCAACCUCUGCCUCCUGGGUUCAAGCAAUUCUGCCCCAGCCUCUCAAGUAGCGGGGACCACAGGUACACCCCACCACGCCCAGCUAAUUUUUGUAGAGACGGGGUUUCACCACGUUGGCCAGGCUGGUCUCAAACUCCUGACCUCAGGUGGUCCACCGGCCUCAGCCUUCCAAAGUGCUGGGACGACAGGCGUGAGCCACCACGCCCAGGGGACGUUAUAUCUUGUUAGGCAGCCCGAGCUGAUGAUCAUGGUACCCUCCACUCCAGGGGUCCCUCCCUCUCUCACAGUACCUGGUAGCUGGGAGCGAGUGGUGGCCUCUGGGGUUUCUGGAAGUGGCGUCUGUCCCCCAGAGGUGGUUAUCAUGGCAGAUAAGGUUGAGUUGGCAGAUUGGCCGGUCACCCUGCUGGUGGCCACUGGGGUGGGUUGGCUGGGGGUGGCCCCCAGGACUGUGAGGCCAGCCGUCAUUCUGGGAGGAUGGCUGGUGGUGGCCAGCGUCCUUGUGGUCGAGGGCGGAGACACAGGAAGGGGCUGGGAGGCCAUAGUCUCCAGAAUCCAGCCCUUCAGCCUCGUGAUGCGCGUGUACACACCAGGCUUCUGAACUUGGGCACAGCCAAUCCCCCAGCUCACGAUUCCUGCCAGAUAAAACACGCCGGGGGUCUCCUCGCAGGCCAGGGGGCCCCCAGAGUCGCCCUGGAAAGGAGGGAAAGAGCGCUGGUUGAUCCUCCAAGGACCCUCUCUUCCCGGCACUGCCAGACCCUCCUGUGUCCCUACAGUUGGUGGGGCUCAUCGGGGGACCAGAGGGCACAGCAUCGGUCUGGAGACCUGGCCGCAGCCCCACGCCUGGCUGUGUGACCUGGAGUGAGUCCCUUCUGAGUUUCCAUCAUUCUUUUGUUUUGGGCGAUAAAACAAGGCAGAAAAAAACUCCUAAAAAAAAAAUAGUAAAAGCCACGAAUAGUCCCACCACCUAGAAGUAGCCCCUGAUCACUAGCUGCCAGGCUGGUUUUUUUUUUUUUGAGACAGCGUCUCUGUCGCCCAGGCUGGAGUACAGUGACGUUACCUCAGCUCACUACAACCUCCGUCCGCCUCCUGGGCUCAAGCAGUUCUCCCUGCCUCAGCCUCCCGAGUAGCUGGGACUACAGGUGGCUGCCACCACGUCCAGCUGAUUUUGUUUUUUUUCUUUUUUAAGUAGAGACAGGGUUUCACCAUGCCGACCAGGCUGGUCUCAAACUCCUGACUUCGGAUGAUCCACCCACCUCAGUCUCCCAAAGUGCUGGGAUUACAGGCGUGAGCCACUGCGUCCAGCUCGUUUUUUGGGGUAGGGUCUUGCUCUGUUACCCAGGAUGGGGUGCAGUGGUGUGAUCAGCCUCAAACUCCCAGACUCGCGAGAUCCUCCCGCUUCAGUUGCCCAAGGAGCUGGGACCGCAGGUGCCUGCCACUCGCCUGGCAAGUUUUUUUUUUUUUUUUUCCCGCAGAGAUGG